AUUGAACGCUGGCGGCAUGCUUUACACAUGCAAGUCGAACGGUAACAGGCCUUCGGGUGCUGACGAGUGGCGAACGGGUGAGUAAUGCAUCGGAACGUGCCCAGAGGUGGGGGAUAACGCAGCGAAAGCUGUGCUAAUACCGCAUGUGAUCUGAGGAUGAAAGCGGGGGACCAGGCAGCAAUGUUUGGCCUCCCGCCUUUGGAGCGGCCGAUGUCAGAUUAGGUAGUUGGUGGGGUAAAGGCCUACCAAGCCGACGAUCUGUAGCUGGUCUGAGAGGACGACCAGCCACACUGGGACUGAGACACGGCCCAGACUCCUACGGGAGGCAGCAGUGGGGAAUUUUGGACAAUGGGCGCAAGCCUGAUCCAGCAAUGCCGCGUGCGGGAAGAAGGCCUUCGGGUUGUAAACCGCUUUUGUACGGAACGAAAAGGCUCUGGCUAAUACCUGGGGCUGAUGACGGUACCGUAAGAAUAAGCACCGGCUAACUACGUG
rnacentral:rRNA from 1 species